GACGAACGCUGGCGGCGUGCUUAACACAUGCGAGUCGAACGGAAAGGCCCAGCUUGCUGGGUGCUCGAGUGGCGAACGGGUGAGUAACACGUGGGUGAUCUGCCCCUAACUUCGGGAUAAGCUUGGGAAACUGGGUCUAAUACCGGAUAGGACAAUCGUUUAGUGUCGGUGGUGGAAAGUUUUUUCGGUUAGGGAUGAGCCCGCGGCCUAUCAGCUUGUUGGUGGGGUAAUGGGCUACCAAGGCGUCGACGGGUAGCCGGCCUGAGAGGGUGGACGGCCACAUUGGGACUGAGAGACGGCCCAGACUCCUACGGGAGGCAGCAGUGGGGAAUAUUGCACAAUGGGCGCAAGCCUGAUGCAGCGACGCCGCGUGGGGGAUGACGGCCUUCGGGUUGUAAACCUCUUUCGACAGGGACGAAGCUUUGGUGACGGUACCUGUAUAAGAAGCACCGGCUAACUACGUG
rnacentral:rRNA from 1 species